rnacentral:rRNA from 1 species
UACAGAGACUGCAAGCGUUAUUCGGAUUCACUGGGCGUAAAGGGUGCGCAGGCGGUUGGGUGUGUCAGAUGUGAAAUCCCGAGGCUCAACCUCGGAACUGCGUCUGAAACUACUCGACUAGAGUACUGGAGAGGGUAACGGAAUUCACGGUGUAGAGGUGAAAUUCGUAGAUAUCGAGAGGAACACCGGUGGCGAAGGCGGCCAACUGGACGAACACUGACGCUGAGACACGAAAGCGUGGGGAGCAAACAGG